rnacentral:rRNA from 1 species
AUUCCUACGGGAGGCAGCAGUGGGGAAUAUUGCACAAUGGGCGAAAGCCUGAUGCAGCGACGCCGCGUGAGGGAUGACGGCCUUCGGGUUGUAAACCUCUUUCAGUAGGGAAGAAGCGAUGGGGUUUUCUUUGUCGUGACGGUACCUGCAGAAGAAGCGCCGGCUAACUACGUGCCAGCAGCCGCGGUAAUACGUAGGGCGCAAGCGUUGUCCGGAAUUAUUGGGCGUAAAGAGCUCGUAGGCGGUUAGUCGCGUCUGCUGUGAAAACUCGAGGCUCAACCUCGGGCUUGCAGUGGGUACGGGCUGACUAGAGUGCGGUAGGGGUGACUGGAAUUCCUGGUGUAGCGGUGGAAUGCGCAGAUAUCAGGAGGAACACCGAUGGCGAAGGCAGGUCACUGGGCCGCAACUGACGCUGAGGAGCGAAAGCAUGGGGAGCGAACAGGAUUAGAUACCCUGGUAGUCCAUGCCGUAAACGUUGGGCACUAGGUGUGGGGUCCAUUCCACGGAUUCCGUGCCGCAGCAAACGCAUUAAGUGCCCCGCCUGGGGAGUACGGCCGCAAGGCUAAAACUCAAAGAAAUUGACGGGGGCCCGCACAAGCGGCGGAGCAUGCGGAUUAAUUCGAUGCAACGCGAAGAACCUUACCAAGGCUUGACAUGCACCGGAAACUUCCAGAGAUGGUUGCCCCGCAAGGUCGGUGCACAGGUGGUGCAUGGUUGUCGUCAGCUCGUGUCGUGAGAUGUUGGGUUAAGUCCCGCAACGAGCGCAACCCUCGUCCCAGUUCGGAUUGAUCCAUAUGACUG